rnacentral:rRNA from 1 species
UACGAAGGGGGCUAGCGUUGCUCGGAAUCACUGGGCGUAAAGGGUGCGUAGGCGGGUCUUUAAGUCAGGGGUGAAAUCCUGGAGCUCAACUCCAGAGCUGCCUUUGAUACUGAAGAUCUUGAGUUCGGGAGAGGUGAGUGGAACUGCGAGUGUAGAGGUGAAAUUCGUAGAUAUUCGCAAGAACACCAGUGGCGAAGGCGGCUCACUGGCCCGAUACUGACGCUGAGGUGCGAAAGCGUGGGGAGCAAACAGG